UACGAAGGGGGCUAGCGUUGUUCGGAAUUACUGGUCUUAAAGUUUGCUCAGGCGGCCGCGCAAGUCGAUUGUGAAAGCCCCGAGCUUAACUUGGGAAUUGCGCUCGAAACUACGUGGCUGGAGUGUGGCAGAGGAAGGUGGAAUUCCAGGUGUAGCGGUGAAAUGCGUAGAGAUCUGGAGGAACACCGAUGGCGAAGGCAGCCUUCUGGGCCAACACUGACGCUCAUGCACGAAAGCGUGGGGAGCAAACAGG
rnacentral:rRNA from 1 species